UAAUAUAGGCCCUGAUGCCGGCAAUAACUAAAGACCUGACACUGUCCUGAGCUAAUAUCCUGACCCAUCUCUAACCAAGGUCCUGACAUUGUCCCUAACAGACCCUGAAGCUAUCCCCCAUUGACGCCCUAAUGCUGUGCCUAACUCAGGCCUUGAUAAUGUCUUUAACUAACACCUUAAUGCUGAUCCUACAAAAGCCCUGAUGUUGCUCCUAAGUCAUGCCUUGACACUGUCCCUAGCUAAGGUCCUGACGCAAGACCUCACUCAGGCCCUGUCGCUAACCCUAAGUCAGGCUCUGAUGCUGUCCCUACCUGAAGCCCUGUUGCUGGUCCUAAAUAAGGCCCUGAUGCUCUCAGUAACUAAGGUCUUGACACUAUCCCUAGACAUUAACCUAACCCUGUCCCUAGCUAAUGUCCUGCCUCUUAUGCUAACUAAAGCCCUGAUGCUGUCUGUCCCUAACUAAGGCCCUGAAAUUAGUCCCGAGGCCAUGACACUGUCCUUAACUAAGGCCCUGACACUGUCCCAAACUAAGGCCCUGCUGCCAUCAGUAACUAAAGUCCUGACACUAUCCUGAGCCAAUAUCCUGACCCAUCUCUUACCAAGGUACUGAUGCUGUCCCUAAGUGAGGCCCUCAGGCUGUCCCUAACUGAGCCCUGACGCUGUGCCUAACUAAGGCCCUGAUCAUGUCUUUAACCAAGACCCUAAUGCUGAUCCUACCAAGGCCCUGAUGCUGCUCCGAAGUCAUGGCCUGACACUGUCCCUAACUCAGGCCCUGACGAAGUCCCUAACUAAGGCCUGUCGCUCUCACUAACUCAGGCCUGAUGCUGUCCCUACCUCAAGCCCUGACGCUGGAAAUAAUUAAGGCCCUGACGCUGGUCCUAUAUAAGGCCUUGAUGUCUAAAUAACUAAGGUCCUGACACUAUCCCUAGCUAAGGUCCUGCCUCUUAUCCUAAUUAAAGCCCUUAUGCUGACCAUAACUUAGGUCCUGACGCUAGUCCUAACUCAGGCUUUGACACUGUCCCUAACAAAGGCCUUGACGCUAGUCUAACUCAGACCCUGAUACUAGGCCUAACUCAAGCCCUGACGCUAGUCCUGACUCAGGCCCUGACACUGUCUCUAACUAAGGUCCGGAAGCUGUCCCUAAUAUAGGCCCUGAUGCCGGCAAUAACUAAAGUCCUGACACUAUCCUGAGCUGAUAUCCUGACCCAUCUCUAACCAAGGCCCUAAUGUUGUCCCUAACUCAAGCCCUGACACUGGUCCUAACUAAGGCCCUGAAGCUGUCCCUAACAUAGGCCUUGAUGCUGUCAAUAACUAAAGUCCUGACACUACCCUUAGGUAAUGUCGUGAGGCAACUCUCACCAAAGUCCGAA